UACGGAGGAUGCAAGCGUUAUCCGGAAUGAUUAGGCGUAAAGCGUCCACAGGUGGUUGUGUGUGUCUAUUGUCAAAGCAUCAUGCUUAACAUGAUAAAGGCAGUAGAAACUACACGACUAGAGUGCGUUCGGGGCAGAGGGAAUUCCUGGUGUAGCGGUGAAAUGCGUAGAGAUCAGGAAGAACACCGGUGGCGAAAGCGCUCUGCUAGGCCGCAACUGACAAUGAGGGACGAAAGCUAGGGGAGCGAAUGGG
rnacentral:rRNA from 1 species